rnacentral:lncRNA from 1 species
AUGUAUCAUGAGUAUUACAAUCAAUCUUUCUAUUUCUCCAUUGUUCGAUGGAUUACUCACUCACUGGGACUAGUAUCUCAUUAUGUACUUUCUUUUCUUUUCUUUCGAUAGGUUUAAGGUAUUCUAGCUCAGUAUAGCAGUUGCAUCUUCAGUACUUAUUUUUAGUAGAGGUUGGUCAUGUCAGCUAGUGGGAGGAGUAUUCAUUUUGGUC